rnacentral:rRNA from 1 species
GUAAACGAUGAAUACUAAGUGUUGGGGAAACUCAGUGCUGCAGUUAACGCAAUAAGUAUUCCGCCUGGGGAGUAUGCACGCAAGUGUGAAACUCAAAGGAAUUGACGGGGGCCCGCACAAGCGGUGGAUUAUGUGGUUUAAUUCGAUGCAACGCGAAGAACCUUACCAGGUCUUGACAUCCUGACAAAGGCCUCAGAGAUGAGGAGAUAGAUAUGUCAGAGACAGGUGGUGCAUGGUUGUCGUCAGCUCGUGUCGUGAGAUGUUGGGUUAAGUCCCGCAACGAGCGCAACCCUUGUCUUUAGUUACCAUCAUUAAGUUGGGGACUCUAGAGAGACUGCCGGUGACAAACCGGAGGAAGGUGGGGAUGACGUCAAAUCAUCAUGCCCCUUAUGACCUGGGCUACACACGUAAUACAAUGGCGUAUACAGAGGGAAGCGAAGUAGUGAUAUGGAGCGAAACUCACAAAGUACGUCUCAGUUCGGAU